CCUACGGGGGGCUGCAGUGGGGGAUAUUGCACAAUGGAGGAAACUCUGAUGCAGCGACGCCGCGUGAGGGAAGACGGUCUUCGGAUUGUAAACCUCUGUCUUUGGGGAAGAAAAUGACGGUACCCAAAGAGGAAGCUCCGGCUAACUACGUGCCAGCAGCCGCGGUAAUACGUAGGGAGCGAGCGUUGUCCGGAAUUACUGGGUGUAAAGGGAGCGGAGGCGGGCGAGAAAGUUGAAUGUUAAAUCUACCGGCUUAACUGGUAGCUGCGUUCAAAACUUCUUGUCUUGAGUGAAGUAGAGGCAGGCGGAAUUCCUAGUGUAGCGGUGAAAUGCGUAGAUAUAUGGAAGAACACCAGUGGCGAAGGCGGCCGCCUGGCCUGUUACUGACGCUGAGGCACGAAAGCGUGGGGAGCAAAUAGGAUUAGAUACCCGAGUAGUC
rnacentral:rRNA from 1 species